rnacentral:rRNA from 1 species
CCUACGGGCGGCUGCAGUGGGGAAUAUUGGACAAUGGGGGGAACCCUGAUCCAGCCAUGCCGCGUGUGUGAAGAAGGCCCUCGGGUUGUAAAGCACUUUCAGUGAGGAAGAACGCCUGGUGGUUAAUACCCAUCAGGAAGGACAUCACUCACAGAAGAAGCACCGGCUAACUCCGUGCCAGCAGCCGCGGUAAUACGGAGGGUGCGAGCGUUAAUCGGAAUUACUGGGCGUAAAGCGCGCGUAGGUGGCUUGAUAAGCCGGUUGUGAAAGCCCCGGGCUCAACCUGGGAACGGCAUCCGGAACUGGCAAGCUAGAGUGCAGGAGAGGAAGGUAGAAUUCCCGGUGUAGCGGUGAAAUGCGUAGAGAUCGGGAGGAAUACCAGUGGCGAAGGCGGCCUUCUGGACUGACACUGACACUGAGGUGCGAAAGCGUGGGUAGCAAACAGGAUUAGAUACCCCAGUAGUC